CAGUCGAAAGAAUGAGGUGGCCUCAUGUAGGUGGAUCUCUAACAUAUAUUAGGUUGAAAAGCAGAGCAAGUGAAUGACAAGGUGCAGGAUAAUACGCAUAACAUGCUCACAUUUGAGUAAGAAAAUCCUAUUAAUGCGUGUGCUUGUGUAUGCGUGGAAGCGCUUCUGGAAGGACAUCGAAGAUGCUGGGGAGAGUGAUUGCCUCUGAGAAGAUAACUGGGAGGCUGGGGUGCCAGGAGGGAGGAAGAUGUGCUUCUCACAGUAUGUCCUUGGAUUGCUUACAUUACCAUGUUCAGUGCACAAUGUAUCAGAUCCUUCUUUCAUGCCCCCUCCCCUGUCCCCCGACAGCUGCAAGACAGGGAGGGAGUGAUGGCCUGAGCUAGUGAGACCUGAAACACAGGGCCUGACUGAUGGCCCCAAGGUGAGGGUGUGGGUGAGGACACACCCAGCGUGCCAGUGUCUGUUUUGUGCUGAUGAACAGAUUUGUCAUUGGCACUUUUGCAAAACUGCAAUGAAAUUCUGGCUCAGGGCACAAUCACCCAGCUGGGGCCCCGAGGCUUUUGGAAGUCACCCGUGGACAGCUUGUCAGCAAAUCUUUAUGGAGCAACAACUCUGUGCUAGGUGCUGAGUACACAGUGAUGAGCAAAACAUGCAAAGACCGUGCCCUCUUCAACUUGGAUGGCCAGUGGGGAUUAGGAAAACAAAUAAGUCAACAAACCCACAAUACCAUCAGUGUUGUGUUCAAGUAGGCUAUGCAGAGGGACAGGAGGGCCUGAGGGCUGCUUCAUACAGGGUGAGGAUGGAGGGGUUCUGAGGAGGGAUGCCCAGGCUGAGACCCAAAAGGUGAAAAUGAGCUGAUAGGGAGAGGUGGGUGGCAGCCAGGAGUGAGUAGAAUUACAGGUGGAGGGACCAUGUUGGGAGGCUCCACGGAGGACAGUCUGGAAGGACUGAAGGACAGCCAAUGUGGCCAAAGAGUAGUGAGUGUGAGAGAGGGGGAGCCAGGUGAGGUUGGUGGGGAGGCGGUAGGGACGCCACGCUCCUGCUGCCCUGACUGUGGGGCACAGGGUGGCAGUCAGGCCUGUGGGUCACCCACCUUCUCAGGGGCUGGCAUUUGCCUUUUCUUGCCUUGCCCUUUCAGUUGGAUGCAACCACUCCAUGACUCCAGUGGAGGAUGAGACCCUGGGAUCAGUUCCUGCCCUGGCCACAGGCUUUGCUCACCCUAUGUUCUAAUGAUCAGUAUUUCUGCAGUAACAUCUUGCAGAAAUAGUUUUAGUUCACCCAUGCUGAGGUGGAGGCAGGGAAAACCAGGACUGAGUUGAAAAUGCUCCAGGUUUCAUGUGCCUUUUCCGUGUUCUAGGUGAUCAAGAUUUCUGCAAUAGUAUCCUGCAGAAUUAGGUGGUGUGGACAAGGGGGCUUCAGGGUGCAUCAGGCAACAUUAUGUUUGGCUGCAUGGGACAGAAAAUGCCAGAUCAUGUAGCUUUAAGAAGAUAGAGUUUUAUUUUUUGUAGAUAAACAAAGUUUGGAGGUAAAUCUAGACCCUUGAAUUAGUCCUAGAUCAUCCAUAAGAAGCUACCACAUGGCCCAAGAUGGCUGCUCAAAUGCCAGCAGUUGCAUCUACAUUUCAGACAGGAGGAGGAAUGUGUGGGGAAGAGAAGGGCACACUUCUGUUUAAGGUCCCUUCAUGGAAAUCGUAUAUGAUUUACUUCUGCCUGUAUUUCAUUGUCCAGAAUUUAUCCCAGGGCUGCCCCUAGCUGCAGGAAGAGCUGGGAAAGGUAGUUUUUAUUCUGGGUGGCGAUGUGCCAAGCUAAAGACAUCAGGGGUUCCAUGUUAAAGGAGGAAGAGGGAAAUGAAGAAUGCCAGACACAGCAUUUUCUGCCACAUAUGAUCAAAUAAAUUUGAGAAAUACUUGGUUAAACAAAAUGAAAUAGGCUUCUUCACUGCAGAAUGUCUCAACCUUUAGUGCGCUCAUGGACAUUGCUAAUCUGUAAAAGAGGCUGUAGUAGUAUGUAGCCUUUCCAAAAUGUAUUAAAUGAUAGAAUUGGUGUGUGUGUGUGAAGCACCUUACGGAAUUGGUGUUCUGCAGAGGCUAUUCAGGUAAACGUAGUCCUUGAUUAUAGAGUUCAAAAAUAACCAAGCUAGGCAACAUGCUUUCAUUUUAAAGACUAAAUGCCAUUCCUUCAAUCAGCCUAGACCACCUACCCUGGAAACGACAGGCCCUGGGCCAAGUGCUGGGAUAUAUGGCUGAGUCAUGAUUCCUGCUCUCAAUAAGUUCAAAGUCAAGAGAGACACAUUCUCAGCAAAAUAAUGACAAGAAAUGCCAGAAUAGAACCUGGACUGGAAGAAUGUGACAUUGGCCUGCAGAAUCAGGUGGCUGGGGUGGAGGCUGUGGACAGCAUAGAGUGGGGUGGGCGGAAAAGGGUUGGUGCAAGGCAGUGAGUCUGGAGGGGUGAGUGCAGCCAGUGGUGAAAAGCCUCAAGUGCUGUGCCAAGGAUGUGUGCCUUCUCGUUGUGGCACCUGGAAGGAGACUGCGGGGUGCAGAAGGGCCAUGUACCAGGGAGUGGAUCGUGAUCUUUCCUCCUCCCUGGCUCCCAGCCUGCUGCCCGUAUGAAGGGCUUCUUCCUGUCCCGACACAAGACAGUGAAUUGGUCACCAGAACACAUAGCCCUCCUCCCGUUGCAAAGCUCUGUCAUCUCCUUUCUCUUACAUUGUCACAAGAAGCCUUAGAAGUGGAGCAGAGAGGGCUGCCCUUCCCUCACUUUACAAAGAGGCAGGGACAGCUCCAGCAUCCUGCCACCUGCAAGUGGCAGAGGUAAAGGGGAGGGAUUUCACACCUUGGUCGGGUGUGCGGAGAGAGGAGGCUGAGAGAAGUUCCUCUGAGGCGGGUCUGAGCUCCAUGCGAUGCCUCUUCCUGCUAGCAAAG
rnacentral:lncRNA from 1 species